GGGAAUAAGGGGAAAAACGAGGUGGAGAAGGAGAAGGAGAAGAGGUUCAAGACGUUGCCGGCGGCGGAGGCGCUGCCGAGGAACGAGAGAAUCGGCGGUUAUAUAUUCGUGUGCAAUAACGAUACGAUGGCGGAGAAUUUGAAACGGCAGCUUUUUGGGCUGCCGCCGCGGUACAGGGAUUCGGUUAGGGCAAUAACCCCGGGGCUGCCGCUUUUUCUCUACAAUUACUCUACACACCAACUUCAUGGAGUUUUUGAGGCUGCAAGCUUU
rnacentral:misc_RNA from 1 species